GUGCUCACUUUGGCAGCGCAUAUACUAAAAUUGAAACAAUGCAAAGAAGAUUAGCAUGGGCACUGUGCAAGGAGGGCAUGCAAAUUUGUAAAGCAUUCCAUAUUAAA